UACGGAGGGGGCUAGCGUUGUUCGGAAUUACUGGGCGUAAAGCGCACGUAGGCGGCUUUGUAAGUUAGAGGUGAAAGCCCAGGGCUUAACCCUGGAAUUGCCUUUAAGACUGCAUCGCUAGAAUUGUGGAGAGGUAAGUGGAAUUCCGAGUGUAGAGGUGAAAUGCGUAGAUAUCUGGAGGAAUACCGGUGGCGAAGGCGGCAUCCUGGACCGACAUUGACGCUGAGGAGCGAAAGCUAGGGGAGCAAACGGG
rnacentral:rRNA from 1 species